GAGGCGCUCCGCUCUCUCCCUCACCUCACAGAGCGCGGGCGGCUCCCCCCCCUGCCCGCCUUGCGGCGACCCCGGGGGUGGGGGGGAGCGCGGCGGUUCCCGCCCGCAGCCAGCCUCGCCCGCCGCCAGUGCAGCCCCCCUGUCCGCCCGAGCUCCGCCCGCUCGCCGCCCCAGCUCCCGCCCGGGUGCCGCCGGAGCCGAGGCGCCGGGCAGCCCGGCGGGCGGCCGCCGCACCAUGAGCGCCGAGUGCAGCAGCUACCUCAACGCCGACAAGGUGCUGGUGAGCGGGUUCAGCUGCCCGCGGACGGGCGGCGAUGCCGGCGCCGUGUACUGCUGCGGCUUCCAGGACGUCAAGUACUGCUGCGAUGACCCCCACAGCUUCUUCCCCUACGAGCACAGCUACAUGUGGUGGCUCAGUGUUGGAGCACUUGUGGGCCUGUCGAUAGCAGCAGUGGUCCUCUUUGCUUUUAUCAUCACUGUGUGUGUUCUCUGUUAUUUGUUUAUCAGCACGAAGCCACGCAGCAAACUGGAUACUGGUUUAACCUUACAGAUGGCAGACUCGAACCCUGCUGCAAAACCACAUCCUGCUUUGGCAUUAGAGAUCAUUCCCCUCUUCCUGUCGUGAGACGAACAGCAUCCCAAGCUCCCCAACUGAUGACCCAGCAUUCAUACAGUGAGACUAGAGGGAGUUCGAUAUGUUAAAAAACAGAGGCACUGGAUGGAUUCCACCAAUGCUGUAAUGAAAAUAGAUACAGAGCUGCAUCCUUCACAAGGCCUCCACUGAGACAAGUUGUUGAUAAAGCCAAGUGGCUUCAAGAGAUUUCCUGAGCCGCAAGGAUGAACUGUGACUGUGAGCUACAAGAACCUGACUCACACUUCCAGAGGUGUUUCCUGGCUAUUACAACCACUAUCGAUAAUAAGAGGCCAAUCUGAAGCUGUGCUGGGAUGUGUAUUUGUGUAUGGUUGCUGUACUGAGAAGUAGUAUAUUUUGAUUUGCACAUAUCAGCUACUGCUGCUGGUCCUUUUCAUGCAAAUUGUUGUCUUUAUCCCAUGCAAUUCCAAUGAGAUAACACCGUUGUCAAGCAGAGCAGAAUUUGGCACACCGUGUUGACCAAGCCUUAUUUCAAGCUUUCCCUGUGUGCCGUCUUAACGUGGUGUCUUCACACCACAAAUAUAGUUGUCUUUAGCCAAAUGUGAUUGUUUGGUGCACAAAGGUAUGUGAAUGCAGUACCUCAAUAAAGUCUGACAUUUGUUUGUGUUGUA